rnacentral:rRNA from 1 species
GAUGAACGCUGGCGGCGUGCCUAAUACAUGCAAGUCGAGCGAACAGACGAGGAGCUUGCUCCUCUGACGUUAGCGGCGGACGGGUGAGUAACACGUGGAUAACCUACCUAUAAGACUGGGAUAACUUCGGGAAACCGGAGCUAAUACCGGAUAAUAUAUUUAACCGCAUGGUUCAAUAGUGAAAGACGGUUUUGCUGUCACUUAUAGAUGGAUCCGCGCCGCAUUAGCUAGUUGGUAAGGUAACGGCUUACCAAGGCAACGAUGCGUAGCCGACCUGAGAGGGUGAUCGGCCACACUGGAACUGAGACACGGUCCAGACUCCUACGGGAGGCAGCAGUAGGGAAUCUUCCGCAAUGGGCGAAAGCUUGACGGAGCAACGCCGCGUGAGUGAUGAAGGUCUUCGGAUCGUAAAACUCUGUUAUUAGGGAAGAACAAAUGUGUAAGUAACUAUCCACGUCUUGACGGUACCUAAUCAGAAAGCCACGGCUAACUACGUG